AGCGAACGCUGGCGGCAGGCCUAACACAUGCAAGUCGAACGAACUCUUCGGAGUUAGUGGCGGACGGGUGAGUAACACGUGGGAACGUGCCUUUUGGUUCGGAAUAACUCAGGGAAACUUGUGCUAAUACCGAAUGUGCCCUUCGGGGGAAAGAUUUAUCGCCAUUAGAGCGGCCCGCGUCUGAUUAGCUAGUUGGUGAGGUAACGGCUCACCAAGGCGACGAUCAGUAGCUGGUCUGAGAGGAUGACCAGCCACACUGGGACUGAGACCCGGCCCAGACUCCGACGGGGGGCAGCAGUGGGGAAUCUUGCGCAAUGGGGCAAAGCCUGACGCCGCCAUGUCGGGGGAAUGAUGAAGGUCUUAGGAUUGUAAAAUUCUUUCACCGGGGACGAUAAUGACGGUACCCGGAGAAGAAGCCCCGGCUAACUUCGUG
rnacentral:rRNA from 1 species